rnacentral:tRNA from 1 species
GCAGGGGUAGCCCAGCUUGGUCAAAGGCGCCAGAUUCAGGGUCUGGUCUCGAAGGAGUACGUGGGUUCGAAUCCCUCCCCCUGCA